rnacentral:misc_RNA from 1 species
CAACAUCCUGGACCCGUCCGUAUCACUGUAUCUGUUCCUAAUCUUGAUGAUGGAAAUCUCAAGGGCCAAGUUCUGGAGAUUACUGUCCAGUCCCUUACUGAAACGGUUGGAAGUUUAAAAGAGAAGAUUGCCGGUGAGAUCCAGCUUCCAGCAAACAAACAGAAAUUGAGCGGGAAACCUGGCUUUCUCAAGGACAAUAUGUCGCUUGCUUAUUACAACGUUGGAGCAGGCGAAGCACUCUCCCUGUCUUUAAGGGAACGUGGUGGUAGAAAGAGGUGAACAGAUCCUUGUUGCAUAUUAGUUGAGG